rnacentral:rRNA from 1 species
GACAGAGGAUGCAAGCGUUAUCCAGAAUGAUUAGGCGUAAAGCGUCUGUAGGUGGCUUUUUAAGUCCGCCGUUAAAUCCUAGGGCUCAACCCUGGACAGGCGGUGGAAACUACCAAGCUGGAGUACGGUAGGGGUAGAGGGAAUUUCCGGUGGAGCGGUGAAAUGCGUAGAGAUCGGAAAGAACACCAACGGCGAAAGCACUCUGCUGGGCCGACACUGACACUAAGAGACGAAAGCUAGGGGAGCGAAUGG